rnacentral:rRNA from 1 species
AGAGUUUGAUCCUGGCUCAGGAUGAACGCUGGCGGCGUGCCUAAUACAUGCAAGUCGAACGAACUGAUUAGAAGCUUGCUUCUAUGACGUUAGCGGCGGACGGGUGAGUAACACGUGGGCAACCUGCCUGUAAGACUGGGAUAACUUCGGGAAACCGAAGCUAAUACCGGAUAGGAUCUUCUCCUUCAUGGGAGAUGAUUGAAAGAUGGUUUCGGCUAUCACUUACAGAUGGGCCCGCGGUGCAAUAGCUAGUUGGUGAGGUAACGGCUCACCAAGGCAACGAUGCAUAGCCGACCUGAGAGGGUGAUCAGCCACACUGGGACUGAGACACGGCCCAGACUCCUACGGGAUGCAGCAGUAGGGAAUCUUCCGCAAUGGACGAAAGUCUGACGGAGCAACGCCGCGUGAGUGAUGAAGGUUUUCGGAUCGUAAAACUCUGUUGUCAGGGAAGAACCAGUACCGGAGUAACUGCCGGUACCUUGACGGUACCUGACCAGAAAGCCACGGCUAACUACGUGCCAGCAGCCGCGGUAAUACGUAGGUGGCAAGCGUUGUCCGGAAUUAUUGGGCGUAAAGCGCGCGCAGGCGGUUCCUUAAGUCUGAUGUGAAAGCCCCCGGCUCAACCGGGG